GACGAACGCUGGCGGCGUGCCUAAUACAUGCAAGUCGAACGCAGUGGGGACGGGUGAGUAACACGUGGGUAACCUCCCAUCAGAGGGGAUAACACUUGGAAACAGGUGCUAAACCGCUACUGAUGGAUGGCCCCGCGUUGCCGUCGCUAGUUGGGGAGGUAACGGCUAACCAAGGCCACGAUGCAUAGCCGACCUGAGAGAGGGAUCGGCAAAACUGGGACUGAGACACGGCCCAGACUCCUACGGGAGGAAGCAGUAGGGAAUCUUCGGCAAUGGACGAAAGUCUGACCGAGCAACGCCGCGUGAGUGAAGAAGGUUUUCGGAUCGUAAAACUCUGUUGUUAGAGAAGCGGUAUCUAACCAGAAAGCCACGGCUAACUACGUGCCAGCAGCCGCGGUAAUAC
rnacentral:rRNA from 1 species